AGAAGCAUGCCAGCCCUUGUAGAGCACAGAAAAAAAAGAGAUAUCAGGAGCCAGAGUUACAUUCCAGAGUUGUAUUUACAAGCAUUUAGAGUAUAAUCCUACUGAAUUUGGAUAAAUAAAUGAGUUAGAUAUUCACAACAUUGUCUGAGAUUUACAGCUUCAGAAAGGUCAAUUACCUCAUUUUCUAAACUACAUACAAUACAAUUCUCCAGCUACUUCGCAGUCUCAUUUGCCAGGCAUUUUUUCUGACAAUCAUCUUCGACAUUAAGUAUGAGCCCUCCAUACUCUUGUACCAAUCUCACUUGCUUGAACCUGUGUACAGAGGUGUGUCAUUCUGAUACCUACAAGGAAGCUGCUCUCAUGGUAGGGAUGCGGAAAUACUUCAUAGCAACUCUGUUUUGCCUGUGAUUUAAACUCCUUCUGAGGCUAUUGGAGACUGUAUGGGAACUGUUGAAUCACGGCCUGAACCUCUGAUUGACCACCUGAGGAGAGCGCUGAGUCAGCCACAGGGGCACAGGUGAACGCAAUUUCACCUCAGUGACUGGAUGGGGUGGAGCCUGGCUCCAGCCCUCCUAGACCCCAUUUAAGGGCUGACUCCCAAUUAGGAAAGACAUCUAUCUGGAGAUCAUUUUUCUUGGAGCCCUUCUGCAAGCCCAGGACACAGGCAAGAGAAGAUUGGAUCCUGAGUGGGCACCAGGCACUGCUAUACUUGCAGCACCUAGAAUUGCUGGACCAGCAGCUGAAGAUCAAGGAAAAAAAAAAUAGUGUCAUCUCAAGGAUCUUUCAGAUUCAUAUACUAGGAGAGCAGCAAAUGAUUUAACACAGGCUUUAGGAUGGAAGGUUUUUUUAAUAUUUACAUUACUUCAUUAGUUCCCAGAAAGUAUGUGAGGAACAUCUGGUACGAGCAUAAGGGACUGCAAAGCUUUCUAAGGUGUGAGGGUUUAUGUAAUAAAUCAAUACAUUCAUGUGGCAUAUAAUCAGAAAGCACAAAUUUAAGUUUCAUCCCCACACUGAAUGGAAAAUUUCUACAGCUGUCAAGGAGAAGAAUGAGCAGUAAGCCUUCACAAAUUCAUUAGAAAAAGCAGGCAGCAUUUUUAUAUGAGCUAACUAGGAAAAAAAAUUCUGGAAAGCUGAAAGUUAAGGAAAGUGUGCUAACUCAUGCUAGACUGAAAAUACCAUAUCCAUCCAAUCUGUUUUAGUCCAUAUUGCCAGACAUACAUGUCAGUGGUUGAAUAAACUCUCAUGGCUGUUUGAGACAAACUAGUGACUUACAGCAACUGUAAAUUCAAUCAAGAGACAUCAAGUACUCAGUCGCAAACCUCAAAUGUUGACCUUUGUGGAGCUACCAAGACCUGCAAUCCGUUUAUUGAGCAUGUGAAUCUUAUUCAAUUUUGCACCUUUUUAAAAUCUAAAUAUUGGCUUUUAUCACACUUGGAAUGUUUAGACGUACAUAGCCUUGAAAUUUAAUCAACUUAACUGUUUUGUCUUUUGAAUGAAUUGCAUUAUCCCACUAGUUAUGGCAAUGACUGAAUUAAAGCCCUGAACCUGCUUUGCAUUCAAUUGCGUUGAUAUUAACAGUGACUGUGGAAAGGUUGACUACUCUUACUAUUUUGAGGAACUCAAGACCACUAACUACAAAGUCCUGCUUCAGAAAAGUUUGAAAAUAAUUUUUAAUAUGGAAAUCAGAUAUCAUAUUAUGCAGCAGUAUCAGUUGUAAAACAUUAUAAUAACAUUUUACAAUAUAAGCCUUAUUCUGAACAUCAUGAAAUCCUUUGAAAUCCUGUUUUCAACUUCUCUGUACUUUAAAAAGAUCUGAUGAAUACAGAUGCUCAAAAGCAUAAUUAUCCUAGACCGUUAUAGGAUUCAUGUUAACACUACAGAAGCAUGACAUUUCCAUUUCUUCCAUUUUCUUCUUUUGCAAAAGGAAAAACACUUUCAUUUUAACAUUGACUAUGCCAUCUACAUUAUAUGCCUCAUUUGUUAGAUCACAGAAGAGUAUUUUCAAGUCUGUUAAAUUGCAUUUUUAGGCCAAUCUCAUAGCUCCAUGUCAGAAUAAAAUAAUAAAAAGUCUUGUUCUCACAGGAUAUCUGAGUUGAUCAUGCAUUCAAGAUUUAGAGGUUAUAAAUAAUGUGAUUUUUUUUUUUUUUCAGUUACAAAUACUACAUGGCUCCUGUAUGAUCUUUUUAGAGAUCAAAUGUUAAGUUUUUCUUUUUUUUUUUUUUUUUUAAACUUAUUCUUCCACAGCUUACAGGGAUUGACUAUGUUAUGGUUUUAUGAUUUUUUUGUUAUCGGUAUUCCACAUCAUAAUAUCAUAUAGUGCACUGGGAGUUAAAAGUUAAUGUUUCAGGUUCAGAUACCUGUCCCAGAAGAGAAGAAGAACUACAUACCCCAGAGGACUGUUUGGUAUUCUGGUACCAUUUCCACUCAGAGGGAAGAGAUGAAAGCUGUUCAUGUAUCAGGAGACACCCCUCGUUUCUCUUCUGCUCAGCCUAGCAAGACAUCUUGACUCAGCAUUAGAGUAACGCCUUCAGUUUUUGGAUACUCUCAUUUUAUUUGAUUUAUUAGGUUUAAUUCUCGUUAUAUUGUAUUAUAUUGUAUUAUAGUGUCUUAUCUUGCAUUCUUAAAUCUUAUUUAGUAAAU
ensembl:lncRNA